CCGACAUAAGAACUUAAAACAGUUGUGAGUUCAAGCAUAACAGUUAAUGUUCUGAGCGCACACGCAUACAGGCUGAUCUUUCGCAAUACACGAUACCUGACAGCAUAUCAGGAGUAACAAGUCUACGCACUAUUUAAUGUAACCACGUGAUCGUCAUGGUUUUCUGUAUGGGUGUGUAUUAAUUAAAACAAGAAGAGUAACGAGAAGAACACUAAUGGACAAGAAUGAUGAGAUCACAGCAUUUCCAAAACACUACCCAAAACCAGAGCCAUCUAAAGACAGAAGAAGUGAAAUAUUUGAUGAAACUCAGCAGAUAUUCAAAGACAUUGCAAAUAAAGCUGAAUCGGU